AACCUAGCACACCUGCGGUGUGUACCUGCGGAAGGAUCAUUAUAGAGUUUCCAAAACUCCAAUACCACUGUGAACCUACCCUCAGCCGUUGCUUCGGCGGGCCGGCCCCCGAGCCGCCCGGGCCCCUCCGGGGGCGCCCGCCGGAGGUACCCAAACCACUGUCCCUGUGUGGCCUCUCUGAGUAACUGUACCGAAUAAGUCAAAAACUUUCAACAACGGAUCUCAGAUCGGAAGAGCACA
rnacentral:misc_RNA from 1 species